rnacentral:rRNA from 1 species
AUGUUUGCAUACGCGCAGGAGACUAGAUACAUCAUAAAGGAUCCACGCACUCCUCGGAGAAAAACUCCUGUGGGUUUAAUUCGAGAGAAAAGCAACGUCAUCCUUAGGCAGCUACUUUGGACAAGGCGACCAUUCGUUGCAGAAUUUACUGAUGCCAAGGGUAAUGAGAUAUUCACGGUUCGCCGGCCUUUUAGGUGGAUCAACAGCUCCAUUUAUGCAGAAGUGGAUGGCAAGGAGGUAGGUGUAGUCCACAGUCGUUGGCAUCUUUGGCGUAGAAAUUAUGACUUGUACUUAGGGAAUAGGCAGUUUGCUGUGGUGGAGAAUCCUGGAUUUUGGAGCUGGUCCUUUACCCUGCUUGAUGAGGAUGAUAAUUUAGUAGCCAUAAUUGACCGCAAGGUUAGGGGAGUUGGUUGGGAGUGCAUGCAGCACUUCACGAAUGCUUCCCAGUAUGAAGUUCGGUUUGGUGAUGCUGGAAAAGGCACCGAUAAAGUUUUUUGUUUCGCUAAAGAUAUCCAGAACGACCUUCGCGUGUUUCUCCCGCUGGAUUUACCCGAGAGGGCUGUGGCUCUUGCUCUUGCAGUGUCUCUGGACCAUGACUGCUUCUCCAGGAGACGAUUGGGCUGGGUUCUUCGCCUUUUAGGAGCAUGA